rnacentral:lncRNA from 1 species
GGGAGAUGAGUGAUUUGUUGUUUGCCAUAUAAUUAUUUACCAUCUCAAUUUUGAGCAAGAAACCAUGGUCUACAAAUAUUACUCAUCUAUGAGGUGUGGAGAAGAAAAUAAUUGCUUCUUGUAUAUAGGAAAGAUAAACUUAGAAUAGUGAGGUGUAAAGGAAAGCAAAAUGAUUUAAGCCAAAUCGUGAAGGAAAGCUUUGGAAGCGGUAGCUUUGCAGUAGUCUCUCAGCAAGGAGGAAAACCUGUGGUUAAAGCUGUUUAAAGGUAGCCUGGAUGGAGGGAAAGUGGAGGGGAAGCAGAUAAAGUGCCCUGAUGAAUGGGUGAGUGGAUGCACUAGGAUAAUCAGUCUCUUGUGCUUGUAGUUUUGCUCUUUCUGGAGAUCUGGACCCGUUAGUAAACUGAAGAUCUUAGAAGCUGUCCCACUCAAGUCAACAUCUGGAUGUUUGCAAUUUCACCUGAACAACUUAAGGAAGUUAAUAAGUAAUCAGUAAAAAGUGAAGAAUGCACCAAAGACCAGGACAAGCCUUCUGCACCCUCAACAUAGGUCUUGAGCAGGUCCUCUUAACACAUAGGAAACAAGAAAAAACAUGAAACCAAACCUCCGUGAACUUAAAACGUACAAUUUCUCCAAACAUUCCUCCAGAAGGAGUCGUUUGUUUGAAUGUGAUGAAAGCAUCUCAGAAAAGAUUGCCUGUGCAGCUGGAAUAAUUCUGAAUAAAAUUCUGAUGAAUUUAUAUACAAGGUUGCACCUGUUUGCCAGGUUCUCCAAUGGAGUCCAAGGCCUUUUUCCUGUAAGUGACCUCAGAUUUUUACUGCCUUUAGGAAAACAAACAAAGAAAGCCUCCCCAAAACCC